GGGCGCAUAGCUCCACCUGCCUUACAAGCAGGGGGUCACAGGUUCGAUCCCUGUUGUGCCCACCA
rnacentral:tRNA from 1 species